UACGUAGGGUCCGAGCGUUGUCCGGAUUUAUUGGGCGUAAAGAGCUCGUAGGCGGCUUCCCAAGUCCGGGGUGAAAUCUUUCGGCUUAACCGGAAAAGUGCCUUGGAUACUGGGGGGGCUCGAGGGAGGUAGGGGCAAGCGGAACUUCCGGUGGAGCGGUGAAAUGCGUUGAUAUCGGAAGGAACGCCGGCGGCGAAAGCGGCUUGCUGGACCUCAUCUGACGCUGAUGCGCGAAAGCCAGGGGAGCGAACGGG
rnacentral:rRNA from 1 species